UGCAGAUGGUGUGGCAGCACGGUGCAUGGCAAGACUUGAAUCCAAGAAGACCUGGAUUUGGAAACAAUCAAGACUGCAUCAGAAACUGACCUCGUUGUACUUGAUAUUAUUCAUCUUGGUUAUGAACAGUAAACUUGUGAAUCAUGAUGCAACUUUUCCCCUGCUUGUUGAUUGUGGUCAAUUAAAGGAAAUGUUCCUCAAAGAAAA